rnacentral:lncRNA from 1 species
CAGAGAAAUGGAGUGUGUCUCCUAAAAGUUUUUUCAAGCAGAGUUCCAGUGUCUCAUGGAUUCAGGGUCUGCCUCUCAGAAAACGGAAUGAAUUCAGUCCUGGAGCACAUGCCCAGCAGUACAUGAGAGGGAUCCUGGAGCCUGCUGGAAGCCAUGUCACUACCACAAUGCAGUGAACUGAAACCAUAGGGACAGAAA